UUUGAUCCUGGCUCAGGACGAACGCUGGCGGCCCGCCUAACACAUGCAAGUCGAACGAGAGAUGAGGAGCUUGCUCUUCAAAUCGAGUGGCGAACGGGUGAGUAACGCGUGAGGAACCUGCCUCAAAGAGGGGGACAACAGUUGGAAACGACUGCUAAUACCGCAUAAGCCCACGGCUCGGCAUCGAGCAGAGGGAAAAGGAGCAAUCCGCUUUGAGAUGGCCUCGCGUCCGAUUAGCUAGUUGGUGAGGUAAUGGCCCACCAAGGCGACGAUCGGUAGCCGGACUGAGAGGUUGAACGGCCACAUUGGGACUGAGACACGGCCCAGACUCCUACGGGAGGCAGCAGUGGGGAAUAUUGCACAAUGGGGGAAACCCUGAUGCAGCGACGCCGCGUGGAGGAAAGAAUGUUCUUCGGAUUUGUAAACCCUUGUUGGUUGAGGAAAGAUAAUGACGGUACCUCCAACAAGAAAAGUGACGGCUAACUACGUGCCAGCAGCCGCGGAUAAAAACGUAGGUCACCAAGCGUUGUCCGGAAUUACGGGGUGUAAAGGGGAGCGCAGGCGGGAGAACAAGUUGGAAGUGAAAUCCAUGGGCUCAACCCAUGAACUGCUUUCAAAACUGUUUUUCUUGAGUAGUGCAGAGGUAGGCGGAAUUCCCGGUGUAGCGGUGGAAUGCGUAGAUAUCGGGAGGAACACCAGUGGCGAAGGCGGCCUACUGGGCACCAACUGACGCUGAGGCUCGAAAGUGUGGGUAGCAAACAGGAUUAGAUACCCUGGUAGUCCACACCGUAAACGAUGAUUACUAGGUGUUGGAGGAUUGACCCCUUCAGUGCCGCAGUUAACACGAUAAGUAAUCCACCUGGGGAGUACGACCGCA
rnacentral:rRNA from 1 species